CCUACGGGUGGCAGCAGUGAGGAAUAUUGGUCAAUGGCCGGAAGGCUGAACCAGCCAAGCCGCGUGAAGGACGAAGGUGCCAAGCAUUGUAAACUUCUUUUGUCAAGGGACAAAAUCAGGCUCGAGAGCCUGACCGAGGGUACUUGAAGAAAAAGCAUCGGCUACCUCCGUGCCAGUCGCCGCGGUAAUACGGAGGCUGCGAGCGUUAUCCGGAUUUAUUGUGUUUAAAGGGUGCGUAGGCGGGCUGUUAAGUCAGCGGUAACAGCCCGGGGCUCAACCCCGGCGAGCCGUUGAAACUGGCUGUCUUUAGAUGUCGAGAGGUAUGCGGAAUGCGCAGUGUAGCGGUGAAAUGCUGAGAGAUUGCGCAGAACUCCGAUUGCGAAGGCAGCAUACCGGCGGCGAUCUGACGCUGAGGCACGAAAGCGUGGGUAUCGAACAGGAUUAGAUACCCCUGUAGUC
rnacentral:rRNA from 1 species